AAAUAAAUUUUACUAUGAAUUUUAAAUUGCUAACACAUACAUGUGCUCAUUAACAUAUUCACAAAGAACAUGAAAUUUAAACUCAACUUUAGAUCCUCACCAAGAUUUUACUGGGUUAGUGUAUGGGUAGAUUAAGCCCAACUUUAUGAGCAGCAGUGCCCCCCUGUGGGCACAAAGAAUGGGGAAGGUAGUCUAUUCAUAACAUGCAACAUUACUUGGAGAACCAACAUUAAAAAGUUGGCUGGUUUUCACUGAUAUGUUGUUUUGUUUGUUUGUUUUGUUUUGUGUUUUCUAUGUGAGGCAAAUAUCUUACGUGUUACGUCUUUGUCCCUUUUUCAGGAGAAGCAGAUCCUACAAAAAGCUCAUGGACAACAGGAGCUGGCUGUUGGCGCUGUAAAUGGGAUUAAUCAGGAAGCCAAACGUUGUGUAGACAUGUGGUUAAAGAUGCCAGGUCUUAAACCUGGAGCGAUCAGUGCUGGUUCCGAGGGAAGACAAAGAGCUUCUUUCCACAGAACUAUCUCAACUAGGCAUACUUGUCCAGUAAUUAACUGUGGUCGAGUUUAUGAUAAUGCUUCCCUCCUUGAUGGACACUUGAAAAGGUUUGAUCACUCCCCAUGUGACCCGACUAUCAAUCUUAAAGGAAGUCCAUCAGAGUUUUUUGCCUGUGUUGCAUGUGGAAAGAAUUUUCAGGCCAAAGAAUCCUGGAGGAACCACGUUAAGUCGAAGGUGUCCUCAUCUAAUGCCGAUGGUCAUAGCAUCAACCAGAUGUAUCAGCGAAUUGUGUGUUUUGCAUGUCCUGCCUGCUACAACCUCUUCAACCUCAGAGACGAGUGUCUCCAGCACAUGUCAGCCGAAAGCCACUUCAAAGACUCACUCGCCUUAAGAGGAAGUCCGCUGCCAGUCCCUGUCCCUCAACAUGUCAAGAAUCGUCUCAUCGCCUUGUGCAAAGAUGUAGUGUUCAGUGUCCGCUGCUCUUUGUGUCAUAACGUACUGAUCUCCCAUCAAGCAGCUCAAGCUCACUUUAAUGUGUACUGCAGACAGGGCUGUGCUGUGGCCAAAGCUGACAAGACGAUAGUGCAGGUCAUGAAUCAGCUGCAAGUGCGAGGACAGUGUUCUGUCUGCUGUGAAAUCUUCCUCAGCCAAGCUGAAAUUGAGAGACACAGGGGGUCGAUGCAGCAUGAAGUUGAACUCAACCAAACAAUGGCAAAAGCACUUCUUCAGCACUGCAGGUUUAGUGAAAUUCAACACUUGAAGAGAGCUAGAGACUCAACAGACACAGAGGAGACCACUGGCCUUGCAACACCUCUCAAAAGAAACAGGAAGAGCGACGACCAUGACAGAUUUCCAGCUAAACAGCAGAGCUCGGGGACAAGUGUGACUGUCACCAGUAGCGGGAGCGUAACAGCUUGGUGUUGCGAGUGUGGUCUUCAGUUCUCAGACGAGGCUGGAGCCAGUAAGCACCUUCUGGCUGUGAACCAAAUUUUCCAUCAGUGUGGCGUGUGUGGCAAACAUAUGGGGGAGUCUUCCAUUGCACGUCUGCAUAUGAGUCGCUUUCACGGGGGCGCUCAUCUCUCCAACUUCCUCUUCUACUGCCGCAAGUGCAAAGUGGAAAUGCCUCGGUACGAAGACAUCCUGUCACACGUGUCCGGAGCUCACAGCGGACACACGUAUUUCAGUGAACAAGAAGUGCCUGAGCAGCUUCCCAUAAUCGUUGAUGUCAAGCCAUCCACUAGCAGUGACGUCACAUUUCACUCCUCGUCUGUGGCCAAAGUCCAGCUGAGCACAGAGGUGUCUUCAUCAAAAGUAGAGCAGUCUUGGAUGUGCAGGAUGUGCGAGGAUGUCUUUGACUCGGAGGCUGCCGUCCGUAAACACUGCAGCGAUGUUAGUAGUCACAGCUUUCAGAGAUUCGUCUGCGGACACUGUCCACAGAAGUUCUUCAAAGAGUCCACCGUACGGAGACACUGUAUGAAUGAGCAUGAUGGGCUUGUAAAAACUUCCUAUUUCUGCGGCCUCUGCGACAGCAUGGAGUUUGGAUCUGAGGAGGAGUUUUUUGAGCACUACAAGAAUCUUCACAGUAAGGACUACUACUGCAUGGAUGAGGUUGAAGUUGUUCAGCCAGAUGCCGCUGAUGCUGCCGCUGCCGCUGAGAGGACCAGUCAGUUUACAUGCCCGUGCAUGGGUUCGGAAAAAAGUAAAGAGGACAUGAAAGCCACUUACACACAAUGCAUGAGGAAUCUGGCUGCGGAAGAAAAAUGCCAGUACAUCUGUGUGCCUUGCGAUGUAUCUGUUCCAUCCUAUGCACAGAUCAAGACUCAUGUCCACACAAAACACACAGCCUUGAACCUGGACAGGAGCUUUGACAUCAGAUGCAAAGACUGCCAAGAGAGUUUUAUGGAUGUACCGAGUUUCCAUAAACACUACCACUUGCAACAUUGUACACUGGAUCCCUGCAUGAGUUCCAGGACCUGCAGGAAAAGCUCAAAAGCCGAACCUACCACUCCAAUAAUACCUAAUGCUGCGGAGAUCAAACCAGACAGCAAUGAGAUUGACGACGAAACGCUGACAUUUUUGAACAUUGAUCACACCAAUGACGAGAGUGAAGUGCAGGAAGUUGAAUCGGAUGAUGAAAUGAAACGCGCGCUGUCUUUGAGCGCAGAAGAAGGACAAGAGUCAGCAGAGUUGGAAGAAGCUCUCAAAAGAAGCCUCCUGGAGUUCUGAGAAAGCCAGUAGUGCUUUUGUAACAUGCUGUUCAUCGAACGUUAUACUAGAAUGUUUUGUACAAGUAAGUGGACACCAAACUGAACCUUGCAGAUUUGCAAUUUUGUAAGCUUGAUACUUGUGAGGAGCCAGAGUGUUUCGACACGUGUGCUAUAGAUGGCAUCCACCACACUGCAAGAUGCCUGAGCUGAACAUGUGACCACAGUGCUGUGUCUCCAGUUGCGCUCUGUGACAUACAAUACACUGGAAAACAGACUCUUCGCAUGGUGUCAUGUGAAUCCCGAUCCUUCUACGCUAGAAUGCUAGAUUAUUUUUCUUAAGGAAAAAGCUUUUGCAAUAUCCAGAAGUCUGCAAUAUAAAUUCACAUAAUUGUUGUGCUCCAGAAAUGUGUUAAUUUGGUGCACACACUUAAGAGUGCACUCGAGUAAAACUCGUAUACCCAGCAAUUAAUGUUCCCCAGGGGCCCACAUUACAAACUGGGACUACCGCAGUACCAGUUUCUCAUGUGGGCUCUUGGAUAAAAUUAACAGCUCAUUCCUGCAUACACUGAUCUGGGUAGCCAAUUCCUUUUCAUGGAUUAACACUGAAAAUAUGAAUUCAGAAUUAUUAUAUUGUACUCAACUGCAAUAUAUCCGUCAAAGUUUCCAUUCCCUUGGCUGUUACAAGCCAGAUAUCUGAUUUUGGGCAAGUUGGCUAAAGAGCAAAAGCUUUGAAGAUAGUUGACUAUGAGGUAAGUCUUGGGUGUUGUGCACUGACACAGUACAAGUUAAUUAGCACUGGGCUCCUGGUUGUAGAAUUUGGCAGCUCCAGGCUAACUGCAGUGCCAGAGGUGAAGAUGCCUUUCUUGGUGA